AUUGAACGCUGGCGGAAGGCUUAACACAUGCAAGUCGAACGAGUGGCGGCGGGGUGGGUAAUGUUGGGGAAUCUGGCUUAUGGGGGGGGAAAACUACGGGAAAUUGUAGCAAAUCCCGGGUACAAUAGGAUGAGCCAAGUGGGGAUUAGGUAGUUGGUGGGGUAAAGGCUCACCAAGCCGACGACCCCUAGCUGGUCUGAGAGGAUGACCAGCCACACUGGGACUGAGACACGGCCCAGACUCCUACGGGAGGCAGCAGUGGGGAAUAUUGCGCAAUGGGGGCAACCUGACGCAGCCAUGCCGCGUGAAUGAAGAAGGCCUUCGGGUUGUAAAGUUCUUUCGGUAGCGAGGCGUUAACUACAGAAGAAGCACCGGCUAACUCCGUGCCAGCAGCCGCGGUAAUUC
rnacentral:rRNA from 1 species